UACGAAGGGGGCUAGCGUUGCUCGGAAUCACUGGGCGUAAAGGGUGCGUAGGCGGGUCUUUAAGUCAGGGGUGAAAUCCUGGAGCUCAACUCCAGAACUGCCCUUGAUACUGAGGAUCUUGAGUUCGGGAGAGGUGAGUGGAACUGCGAGUGUAGAGGUGAAAUUCGUAGAUAUUGGGAAGAACACCAGUGGUGAAGGCGGCUCACUGGCUCGUAUCUGACGCUCAGGCGCGACAGCGUGGGGAUCAAACAGG
rnacentral:rRNA from 1 species